rnacentral:rRNA from 1 species
UAGGGAAUAUUGGGCAAUGGGCGAGAGCCUGACCCAGCCAUGCCGCGUGCAGGAAGAAGGCUUUCUGAGUCGUAAACUGCUUUUGAUAGGGAAGAAUAAGCACUACGUGUAGUGUGAUGACGGUACCUACAGAAUAAGCACCGGCUAACUCCGUGCCAGCAGCCGCGGUAAUACGGAGGGUGCGAGCGUUGUCCGGAUUUAUUGGGUUUAAAGGGUGCGUAGGCGGCCAGUUAAGUCCGGGGUGAAAGCCCGCUGCUCAACAGCGGAACUGCCCUGGAUACUGCCUGGCUUGAGUACAGACGAGGUUGGCGGAAUGGACUGAGUAGCGGUGAAAUGCAUAGAUACAGUCCAGAACCCCGAUUGCGAAGGCAGCUGACUAGGCUGUUACUGACGCUGAGGCACGACAGCGUGGGGAGCGAACA